rnacentral:rRNA from 1 species
AUUGAACGCUGGCGGCAUGCCUUACACAUGCAAGUCGAACGGCAGCAUGAUCUAGCUUGCUAGAUUGAUGGCGAGUGGCGAACGGGUGAGUAAUACAUCGGAACGUGCCCUGUAGUGGGGGAUAACUAGUCGAAAGAUUAGCUAACACCGCAUACGACCUGAGGGUGAAAGUGGGGGACCGCAAGGCCUCAUGCUAUAGGAGCGGCCGAUGUCUGAUUCGCUAGUUGGUGAGGUAAAGGCUCACCAAGGCGACGAUCAGUAGCUGGUCUGAGAGGACGAUCAGCCACACUGGGACUGAGACACGGCCCAGACUCCUACGGGAGGCAGCAGUGGGGAAUUUUGGACAAUGGGCGAAAGCCUGAUCCAGCAAUGCCGCGUGUGUGAAGAAGGCCUUCGGGUUGUAAAGCACUUUUGUCCGGAAAGAAAUGGCUCUGGUUAAUACCUGGGGUCGAUGACGGUACCGGAAGAAUAAGGACCGGCUAACUACGUG